UCGAGUGAGGCAUAUGCGGUUGCUGAGGUAGGAAUGGUGGUUGUUGAGGUGGAGAUGACUACUUCUGAGGUGCCUGUGGCUAGUUAGACACGUCACCCUGCUGAGGACCAGACUCCUCUUUGCAGUUCUGACUGAUGUAAUGCAAGGUGAUCGGGAGUUUGAUCUUCUGAGUUCUGUUAACCUGAACCCGUUUCUUAGAAUAGAGUUUGGUGAUCAAGGAUGGGAAUCCCAAAGAUCUAUUCUUUCUAGUUCUGACUACGGUCU
rnacentral:lncRNA from 1 species